AGUGAACGCUGGCGGUAGGCCUAACACAUGCAAGUCGAACGGCAGCACAGUAAGAGCUUGCUCUUACGGGUGGCGAGUGGCGGACGGGUGAGGAAUACAUCGGAAUCUACUUUUUCGUGGGGGAUAACGUAGGGAAACUUACGCUAAUACCGCAUACGACCUACGGGUGAAAGCAGGGGAUCUUCGGACCUUGCGCGAUUGAAUGAGCCGAUGUCGGAUUAGCUAGUUGGCGGGGUAAAGGCCCACCAAGGCGACGAUCCGUAGCUGGUCUGAGAGGAUGAUCAGCCACACUGGAACUGAGACACGGUCCAGACUCCUACAGGAGGCAGCAGUGGGGAAUAUUGGACAAUGGGCGCAAGCCUGAUCCAGCCAUACCGCGUGGGUGAAGAAGGCCUUCGGGUUGUAAAGCCCUUUUGUUGGGAAAGAAAAGCAGCGGGUUAAUACCCCGCUGUUCUGACGGUACCCAAAGAAUAAGCACCGGCUAACUUCGUG
rnacentral:rRNA from 1 species